rnacentral:rRNA from 1 species
CGACGCUGGCGGCACGCUUAACACAUGCAAGCUCGAACGAAGGCCCAGAGCUUGCUCCGGUUACCUUAGUGGCGGACGGGUGAGUAACGCGUGGGAAUCUACCUUGCGAUGGGGGAUAACAGUUGGAAACGACUGCUAAUACCGCAUACGCCCUUAGGGGGAAAGGCUUCGGCCGUCGCUAGAGGAUCCCGCGUUCGAUUAGCUAGUUGGUAGGGUAAUGGCUUACCAAGGCAACGAUCGAUAGCUGGUCUGAGAGGAUGAUCAGCCACACUGGAACUGAGACACGGUCCAGACUCCUACGGGAGGCAGCAGUGGGGAAUAUUGGACAAUGGGGGAAACCCUGAUCCAGCGAUGCCGCGUGAGUGAAGAAGGCCCUAGGGUUGUAAAACUCUUUCACCCGUGAAGAUGAUGACUGUAGCGGGAGAAGAAGCUCCGGCUAACUCCGUGCCAGCAGCCGCGGUAAUACGGAGGGGGCUAGCGUUGCUCGGAAUUACUGGGCGUAAAGCGCGCGUAGGCGGUGAAUCUAGUCAGGCGUGAAAGCCCAGGGCUUAACCCUGGAAUUGCGUUUGAUACUGGUUUACUAGAAUUCGAGAGAGGGUAGUGGAAUUUCCAGUGUAGAGGUGAAAUUCGUAGAUAUUGGAAAGAACACCAGUGGCGAAGGCGGCUAUCUGGCUCGAUAUUGACGCUGAGGUGCGAAAGCGUGGGGAGCGAACGGGAUUAGAUACCCCGGUAGUCCACGCCGUAAACGAUGAGUGCUAGUUGUUGGGCAGCUUGCUGUUCAGUGACGCAGCUAACGCGUUAAGCACUCCGCCUGGGGAGUACGGCCGCAAGGUUAAACUCAAAGGAAUUGACGGGGGCCC